rnacentral:lncRNA from 1 species
UUAAGGCCUUGACUUGGCUCAUUUAAUUAAAUGAAGUUCAAUUUUAGUAAGUGGCAAACCCGGUCAAUAUCUAAGUCAUUGUUUAAAUCUCAUUUCAAUCUCAAUAUUCUUUGGCUACAUUUUAUUCCGAGUUUAAAUUAGAACAUCGCAAUGAUGUAAAUUUAUAGUAUUAGUUAUAUCUUUUUUUUUUUUUAAAUACCUUAUAUAUUUGUUGAAAAUGAUCUAAAUUUUUACGAAUGAAUACUAUCGAUAUAUUAUACACUCGUAAUUAUAUACUGAUUAGAUAAAAAAAAAAUUAUAACAAAAAAUAAUUAAAACUGUUCCCUUUAUCCAUAUAUUUUUAUUGGUCCUAAUAAUAUUAAAAUGUCACAACUUUUAAAUGUAUUAAUUUCUAAAAUUUUAUUU